UCUUAGGCGAACAAGGAUAGAGAACGGGCUUGCCCGCUCUCCUGCGUCCCAAUGUGCCAAGAGGGAAAACAACCCUCAAGGCACUAAAGUAUAUCAAAGUUUAAAAUUUCUGGAGAUAAAUCCUUUGCAGACGACUUAAAUAAAGAACGGGGUAUUGUACGUUGUAGAGUAGCCUUGUUGCUACGAUCUUCUGAGAUUAAGCCUUUGUUCUACGAUUUGU
rnacentral:ncRNA from 1 species